rnacentral:rRNA from 1 species
UUUAGUCAGGCAACAAGCGAGACCUGUAUCCACCGUUGCUACUGUGCCCGUAAGGGUGAGCGAGCACACUGUGGAGACUGCCUUCGUAAGAAGGAGGAAGGUGCAGGCUACGGCAGGUCUGUACGACCCGAAUCUGCUGGGCUACACGCGCGCAACAAUGAUUGUGACAAUGGGAUGCAACGCUGAAAAGCGAAGCCAAGCCUCUAAACACAAUCCUAGUAUGAAUCGAGGGCUGCAACUCGCCCUCGUGACAUCGGAAUCCCUAGUAAUCAGACGUUAGCAUCGUCCGGUGAAUAUGUCCCUGCUCCUUGCACA